rnacentral:misc_RNA from 1 species
GAAAUGCGAUAAGUAAUGUGAAUUGCAGAAUUCAGUGAAUCAUCGAAUGUUUGAACGCACCUUGCGCUCCUUGGUAUUCCUUGGAGCAUGCCUGUUUGAGUAUCAUGAAAUCUUCAAAGUAAAUCUUUUGUUAACUCAAUUGGUUUCUACUUUGGUAUUGGAGGUCUUUGCAGCUUCACACCUGCUCCUCUUUGUUCAUUAGCUGGAUCUCAGUGUUAUGCUUGGUUCCACUCGGCGUGAUAAGUUAUCUAUCGCUGAGGACACUGUAAAAGGUGGCCAAGGUAAAUGCAGAUGAACCGCUUCUAAUAGUCCAUUGACUUGGACAAUACUUUUAUGAUCUGAUCUCAAAUCAGGUAGGACUACCCGCUGAACUUAAGC